rnacentral:rRNA from 1 species
GUACACUCCUGCGGGAGGCAGCAGUGGGGAAUAUUGCACAAUGGGCGCAAGCCUGAUGCAGCCAUGCCGCGUGUAUGAAGAAGGCCUUCGGGUUGUAAAGUACUUUCAGCGGGGAGGAAGGCGAUAAGGUUAAUAACCUUGUCGAUUGACGUUACCCGCAGAAGAAGCACCGGCUAACUCCGUGCCAGCAGCCGCGGUAAUACGGAGGGUGCAAGCGUUAAUCGGAAUUACUGGGCGUAAAGCGCACGCAGGCGGUCUGUCAAGUCGGAUGUGAAAUCCCCGGGCUCAACCUGGGAACUGCAUUCGAAACUGGCAGGCUAGAGUCUUGUAGAGGGGGGUAGAAUUCCAGGUGUAGCGGUGAAAUGCGUAGAGAUCUGGAGGAAUACCGGUGGCGAAGGCGGCCCCCUGGACAAAGACUGACGCUCAGGUGCGAAAGCGUGGGGAGCAAACAGGAUUAGAAACCCGAGUAGUCCCAUGAU